rnacentral:tRNA from 1 species
UCCCUUGUGGCUCAGCUGGUAAAGAAUCUGCCUGCAAUGCAGGAGGCCUGGGUUCAAUCCCUGGGUUGGGAA